GACGAACGCUGGCGGCGUGCUUAACACAUGCAAGUCGAACGGAAAGGCCCUGCUUUUGUGGGGUGCUCGAGUGGCGAACGGGUGAGUAACACGUGAGUAACCUGCCCUUGACUUUGGGAUAACUUCAGGAAACUGGGGCUAAUACCGGAUAGGAGCUCCUGCUGCAUGGUGGGGGUUGGAAAGUUUCGGCGGUUGGGGAUGGACUCGCGGCUUAUCAGCUUGUUGGUGGGGUAGUGGCUUACCAGGGCUUUGACGGGUAGCCGGCCUGAGAGGGUGACCGGCCACAUUGGGACUGAGAUACGGCCCAGACUCCAACGGGAGGCAGCGGUGGAGAAUAUUACACAAUGGGCGGAAGCCUGAUGCAGCAACGCCGCGUGCGGGAUGACGGCCUUCGGGUUGUAAACCGCUUUCGCCUGUGACGAAGCGUGAGUGACGGUAAUGGGUAAAGAAGCACCGGCUAACUACGUG
rnacentral:rRNA from 1 species